CUGUCUGUCAGCAGUGUGGAGGGCUGGCUGGAAAGAAGAAAGAGGAAGGAGUGGAGACUGAAGAUCAGUAGUCCUGGGGAGAAGGUCAGAAAACCCCAAGGAAAAGCCUCUGAGACGUGGGACUACAACAGAGAAAACUAGACAAGGGGUGGAGGCAAGAAGGUAUCUUGGAAAGAUGCUCUCAACAGGCAGGCCAAAAUUAGCAGAGGCAGAGGAGAAUCAGUCCAUACCUUGUUGCAUCACAGCUUCAGAAGCUGCAUUGAAUGAAUGCACAGUCAUCUGAGAACAAAUCAUGCACCAUCUCUCCCUCCACUUUGGUCUUGGGUUGUGGCCUUUUCAAGUUGAAGAAUUUACCAUCAGUGCAGUAGCUGACCUUGAUGCUGUGGAUUCUAGGAUGUAAUGAAACAGUUAACACCAUAAAAAAAAAAAAAAGAAUUCAGAGCAGCAGGGAAUGACUUAUAUCAACGUUUGGAGGCAAGGUAGAGAAGGUGGACGAGAAAACAAUAUACAUAAUGAUUGCGACAAUGUACAAGGAGCCAACAAUAUUGAAUGCUGUGUCAAUAUAAGGAUCAAGAUUGCCUUAGAAAGAGAUCUCUCCCAGAAUUUGGAACUCAAAGUUUU